UGAGGAAUAUUGGUCAAUGGACGCAAGUCUGAACCAGCCAUGCCGCGUGCAGGAAGACGGCUCUAUGAGUUGUAAACUGCUUUUGUACUAGGGUAAACUCAGAUACGCGUAUCUGACUGAAAGUAUAGUACGAAUAAGGACCGGCUAACUCCGUGCCAGCAGCCGCGGUAAUACGGAGGGUCCAAGCGUUAUCCGGAUUUAUUGGGUUUAAAGGGUGCGUAGGCGGUUAGAUAAGUUAGAGGUGAAAUACCGGUGCUUAACACCGGAACUGCCUCUAAUACUGUUUAGCUAGAGAAUAGUUGCGGUAGGCGGAAUGUAUGGUGUAGCGGUGAAAUGCUUAGAGAUCAUACAGAACACCGAUUGCGAAGGCAGCUUACCAAGCUAUUUCUGACGUUGAGGCACGAAAGCGUGGGGAGCAAACAGGA
rnacentral:rRNA from 1 species